CCCGCCAGCCCUCCCCGCACAUCGCAUCUGGCAGGGGGGUGGGCCCAGGCCACCCGGGGCCGCUGUUGCUGCCGCCGCCACUCUGCCCAGGAAGCCAGGGAACAAGCAGGAUGCAGCCAGGGGCUAAAACACGAUCUGGGGGUCUGGGGGGACACGGGCCAACCACCCCCGCCCCAAGCAGGAGGACAGACGGGCACUGCUCACUGCAGGGACACGCUCAGGAGGCCACCAAGACUGGAGAAAUGCCCCAAGGCCUCCCUCCCUCCCUCCUCCGACCACUGCUGCUCCAAACCCGUGGCUGAGCAGGGAGCCAGCACCGGCCACAAACACUGGAACGCGUCCCCAACCCUGCCUUCAGGGGAGUGCCCAGGGGCAGACCAGCAGCCGCCGCGACCUGGGGCCCAGACGGCGCCGCGGAAGCUCCUGCACGGAAGGUCAGCGGUCACUAUGGCCCACAGGAAGCCUUCCACGGUGGCCCGAGGUGAAGCCCGCCUCCAGCUCCGCUCAGGGGCCCGGCGGUGGCCUCACAGACGCUGACGAGGACAAAGGAGAGCCACAGGCCACCGUGGGAACCCCCACCGGGAGGCGGAUGAUGGGCAAGGACCUGCACACCAGCCCGCGAGGACGGGGGCUCUCACCCUCUGCUUGGGUUUCUGAACAGGUAGGUUGUGUUUAAAACCCGUUUCUUUUGCAAAAGGAAGAGCAUAAAGAAAUUUCUAUUUCGAAAAACCGCUCGAGCACCAGCCAACCCCAGUCCUGCACUGGGUUCACCGCCAAGCGUUCGGAGCGCCCGUUUCUCCUCCGAGGCCUGGGGCCGCGGACCUGGGGUCAGGGGAAGGGCUGAGCAGCCCAGCAAGCUCCCGGGAGGGGAAACCCCAGGGCCACCUUGACCCCAAAGUACGGGGUGGCACCCAGCAGCGUGGCCAGCCCCUGGGGUCCCACCGGCCACACCCAGGCUACCCGGACCCAGCCCACCCCUCAGGGCAAAGCACAGGACAA